UACAUAGGGGGCAAGCGUUAUCCGGAAUUAUUGGGCGUAAAGGGUGCGUAGGCGGCCAAUAAAGUCAGAGGUGAAAGGCUACGGCUCAACCGUAGUAAGCCUUUGAAACUAAUUGGCUUGAGUGCAGGAGAGGAGAGUGGAAUUCCAAGUGUAGCGGUGAAAUGCGUAGAUAUUAGGAGGAACACCAGUGGCGAAGGCGACUCUCUGGACUGUAACUGACGCUGAGGCACGAAAGCGUGGGGAGCAAACA
rnacentral:rRNA from 2 species